CACACAGAAGGGAGAUGGAAAAGACACGGUCACGACUUGCUUUCCUUCCUGGACGUCACCUGUCACACCAGCCCCUGGAUGCCAGGAUGGUAUCCCUGCAAAGAGCUUUGGUGGUCCUGAAGGGUCUGCUUCAUCCUGCGGAGACCAGGCUUCCUCAUACCCUUGCCCAGCUGACAUGACCAUUGUGACUAGAAAUGACAGCUUCUCCUUACUAGGGGCCAGCAGCAACAGUGUAAGCAACCAGUGCCCUGAGGUUGAUGACAUCAGCAAUGUGACAAUCAGCGAUCUGUAUGAAGGCAUGAUGCACUCCAUGAGCAGGCUGCUGCGCUCAAAGCCGUCGUGCAUCAUCUCCACCAAGACCUCCAUUAACAGGAACUGGAAGCUCAAGAGGAGGCUCUCACGAAAGCAUGGGGUGCACAAGAACACGACAUACUGCCACAGGAGCAAACCCUUCCAGAGGAGCUCUAGGAAGGGGCCCCUGCACUGCUCAGAGCCCAGGAAAGAGGCCAGAGUAUUAAGGGACUCCAAGAACUUGCCGCAUGUUGAUCCCCACAAGACAGACAAGACAGGCUUAGAACUGGAAAGUGUUCCUCUUGAAGGAAGCAAACUCCAAGUCCAUAAAUUGAGUCCAGCUUGGAAGGAGCUCCAGGGGCUGCCUCAGAAGUAUUUGGGCUUAAGCACAGUAAACCACCUUGGGCGAGAAGACAGGGUGAAGGCAUUACAGUGGUUAAUUUCACCCGUUAAAAUGGCUCCCAGGCUGAGGGUGCCUCCAGGU
rnacentral:lncRNA from 1 species